GUCUAGCCUGCCCACUGACUAUAUGUUCAACGGCCGCGGUAUUUUGACCGUGCAAAGGUAGCGUAAUCAUUUGUCUUUUAAAUGAAGACCAGUAUGAAAGGCACCACGAGGGCUCGACUGUCUCCUCUUUCAGGUCAAUGAAAUUGAUCUCCCCGUGCAGAAGCGGGGAUAAUACCAUAAGACGAGAAGACCCUAUGGAGCUUUAGACGAUGGGAUAGACCAUGUUAAUUACCCCUAUAUAAAGGACGGAACCUAGUGAGAACUACCACAAUGUCUUAGGUUGGGGCGACCAUGGAGUAACAAAAAUCCUCCACGCGGAAUGGGAGCAUUACUAUUUACAUCACUAUCGUUACCUAACCCCCACUACUCCCAAAAUUAAGGGCUACAGCCCUAGCUAACAGAAUUUCUGACCUAAAUUGAUCCGGCAACGCCGAUUAACGGACCAAGUUACCCUAGGGAUAACAGCGCAAUCCCCUUUUAGAGCCCAUAUCGACAAGGGGGUUUACGACCUCGAUGUUGGAUCAGGACAUCCUAAUGGUGCAGCCGCUAUUAAGGGUUCGUUUGUUCAACGAUUAAAGUCCUACGUGAUCUG
rnacentral:rRNA from 1 species